GGAAGUGUUGUUAAAGUAUAAGAAAAUUUAUGAUCUUUCCUGUUUGCAGGAAAUCUGGAAAGUAUUGGCACUGAUUAGGAAAGCCUUUUUUAUUAUAAUACAUCCAUCACUGUAUGGGAAAGCAGGAAAGGAUCUGCCAAUGAAACAAAUAGUUUUCUGGAAAUAAAUAACAUCUACAGACAAUUGAAACUAUUGACUAUAGAAUGACGCAGUUGUUUCAAGUGACCAUAUCAGAGGAUGUCAGCCAGGAACAUGGAGUGGGUCCUUGACAUUUGUCUAGUGAUACAUCUUAAAACUUUCACAAGUUCCAAAUUUGAGAAUACCACUAUGCCAUACCAUUUUUUCUGGAAUUUUAAUGUGCACCAAGAGAUGAGGA
rnacentral:lncRNA from 1 species